rnacentral:rRNA from 1 species
AGUGAACGCUGGCGGCAGGCCUAAUACAUGCAAGUCGAACGGCAGCACAGCAGAGCUUGCUCUGUGGGUGGCGAGUGGCGGACGGGUGAGGAAUACAUGGGAAUCUGCCCAGUCGUGGGGGAUAACGUAUGGAAACGUACGCUAAUACCGCAUGCGCCCUACGGGGGAAAGCCGGGGACCGCAAGGCCUGGCGCGAUUGGAUGAGCCCAUGUUCGAUUAGCUAGUUGGCGGGGUAAAGGCCCACCAAGGCGACGAUCCGUAGCUGGUCUGAGAGGAUGAUCAGCCACACUGGAACUGAGACACGGUCCAGACUCCUACGGGAGGCAGCAGUAGGGAAUAUUGGACAAUGGGCGCAAGCCUGAUCCAGCCAUGCCGCGUGAGUGAAGAAGGCCCUCGGGUUGUAAAGCUCUUUUGUCCGGAAAGAAAGCACUGGGUUAAUACCCCGGUGUCCUGACGGUACCGGAAGAAUAAGCACCGGCUAACUU